rnacentral:rRNA from 1 species
UUGUUUUUAAAAGAAGAACACCUUUGAGAGUAACUUUUCAAGGGUUGACGGUAUUUAACCAGAAAGCCAGGGCUAAUUACGUGCCAGCAGCCGCGGUAAUACGUAGGUGGCAAGCGUUGUCCGGAUUUAUUGGGCGUAAAGCGAGCGCAGGCGGUUUUUUAAGUCUGAUGUGAAAGCCUUCGGCUUAACCGGAGAAGUGCAUCGGAAACUGGGAGACUUGAGUGCAGAAGAGGACAGUGGAACUCCAUGUGUAGCGGUGGAAUGCGUAGAUAUAUGGAAGAACACCAGUGGCGAAGGCGGCUGUCUAGUCUGUAACUGACGCUGAGGCUCGAAAGCAUGGGUAGCGAACAGGAUUAGAUACCCUGGUAGUCCAUGCCGUAAACGAUGAGUGCUAAGUGUUGGAGGGUUUCCGCCCUUCAGUGCUGCAGCUAACGCAUUAAGCACUCCGCCUGGGGAGUACGACCGCAAGGUUGAAACUCAAAGGAAUUGACGGGGGCCCGCACAAGCGGUGGAGCAUGUGGUUUAAUUCGAAGCUACGCGAAGAACCUUACCAGGUCUUGACAUCUUCUGCCAAUCUUAGAGAUAAGACGUUCCCUUCGGGGACAGAAUGACAGGUGGUGCAUGGUUGUCGUCAGCUCGUGUCGUGAGAUGUUGGGUUAAGUCCCGCAACGAGCGCAACCCUUAUUAUCAGUUGCCAGCAUUCAGUUGGGCACUCUGGUGAGACUGCCGGUGACAAACCGGAGGAAGGUGGGGAUGACGUCAAAUCAUCAUGCCCCUUAUGACCUGGGCUACACACGUGCUACAAUGGACGGUACAACGAGUUGCGAAGUCGUGAGGCUAAGCUAAUCUCUUAAAGCCGUUCUCAGUUCGGAUUGUAGGCUGCAACUCGCCUACAUGAAGUUGGAAUCGCUAGUAAUCGCGGAUCAGCAUGCCGCGGUGAAUACGUUCCCGGGCCUUGUACACACCGCCCGUCACACCAUGAGAGUUUGUAACACCCAAAGCCGGUGAGAUAACCUUCGGGAGUCAGCCGUCUAAGUGGACAGAGAUGGA